UUUAGAGUUUGAUUCCCUGCUCAGGACGAACGCUGGCGGCGUGCCUAAUACAUGCAAGUCGAGCGAACUAAUAGGAGCUUGCUCCCAGAAGUUAGCGGCGGACGGGUGAGUAACACGUGGGCAACCUGCCCUGUAGAUCGGGAUAACAUCGAGAAAUCGGUGCUAAUACCGGAUAAUUUCUAGAAUCUCAUGGUUCUAGAAUAAAAGAUGGCUCCGGCUAUCACUACGGGAUGGGCCCGCGGCGCAUUAGCUAGUUGGUAAGGUAACGGCUUACCAAGGCGACGAUGCGUAGCCGACCUGAGAGGGUGAUCGGCCACACUGGGACUGAGACACGGCCCAGACUCCUACGGGAGGCAGCAGUAGGGAAUCUUCCGCAAUGGACGAAAGUCUGACGGAGCAACGCCGCGUGAGUGAUGAAGGAUUUCGGUUCGUAAAGCUCUGUUGUUAGGGAAGAACAAGUGCCGUUCAAAUAGGGCGGCACCUUGACGGUACCUAACCAGAAAGCCACG
rnacentral:rRNA from 1 species